rnacentral:hammerhead_ribozyme from 1 species
GUACUGCUGAGGAGUCCCAUACUAGGACGAAACGGUCGUUCAGUGC